CCUACGGGGGGCAGCAGUGGGGGAUAUUGCACAAUGGGGGAAACCCUGAUGCAGCGACGCCGCGUGAGCGAUGAAGUAUUUCGGUAUGUAAAGCUCUAUCAGCAGGGAAGAAAAUGACGGUACCUGACUAAGAAGCCCCGGCUAACUACGUGCCAGCAGCCGCGGUAAUACGUAGGGGGCAAGCGUUAUCCGGAUUUACUGGGUGUAAAGGGUGCGUAGACGGGAAUUUAAGUUAGUUGUGAAAUCCCUCGGCUUAACUGAGGAACUGCAACUAAAACUGAAUUUCUUGAGUGCGGGAGAGGAAA
rnacentral:rRNA from 1 species